rnacentral:rRNA from 1 species
UGAGGAAUCUUGCACAAUGGGCGAAAGCCUGAUGCAGCGACGCCGCGUGAGGGACGAAGGCCUUCGGGUUGUAAACCUCUGUCAGUAGGGAAGAAGAUUGACGGUACCUACUGAGGAAGCUUCGGCUAACUACGUGCCAGCAGCCGCGGUAAUACGUAGGAAGCAAGCGUUGCCCGGAAUUACUGGGCGUAAAGAGCUCGUAGGCGGGGGCGUGCGUCCGAAAAGAAAUUUCAAGGCUCAACCUUGGGGCUAUUUCGGAUACGGCGCUUCUUGAGGGUGAGAGAGGAAAGCGGAAUUCCAGGUGUAGCGGUGAAAUGCGUAGAUAUCUGGAGGAACACCAGCGGCGAAGGCGGCUUUCUGGCUCAUUCCUGACGCUGAGGAGCGAAAGCGUGGGUAGCGAACGG